rnacentral:rRNA from 1 species
UACAGAGGGGGCAAGCGUUGUCCGGAAUUACUGGGCGUACAGCGCGCGCAGGCGGUUGUCAACGUGCCGUGUGACAAGCGGGGGCUCAACCCCCGAGGGCCACGGUACACGGGGCGACUGGGAGGCAGGGAGAGGGAUGGUGGAAUGCCCGGUGGAGCGGUGAAAUGCGUAGAGAUCGGGCGGAACACCAGCGGCGAAGGCGGCAUCCUGGCCCUGUCCUGACGCUGAGGCGCGAGAGCGUGGGGAGCAAACCGG